GGGAUGACGUACUGUUCCAUGACUGACAGAAAAAAUGAGCCAAUCAUGACAGAAAACUGAGCCUAUUAGGCACAACACUGUAUUUUCUGCUGGCUAGCCCCACCACCACAGAAAACAAUGAGCUAGUCUGAAGCACCUGCAAUUUGGAGCUGCCUUACUCAAGAAAGCAAAAAAGAGACCAUGUUUCUAAGUCCCCUCCAGCACCAUGAUUAAGAGGGGAUGACUACUCCACUCCACUAUCAUUGUCAACUCUCGCCUGACAUUAACUGAAGCCACGUCUCACGUGCCACUCAUCCACCGGCACAUUGAAUGUUUCCCCUCCAAGCACUUCAAAUCCUGUCCUGCACUGAAGUCAAGACUCUGAACACCUCAACUCAUGCAUCAUACUCUCAUUCAAUCACAAUCCCUUCCCAACACUGUAUGCUGAACUGAGUCAGACCUGCAUGGGACGCCAGUUGCCCUCAGAGGUUGUUCCUGGACAAGACCAUCACCUGUCCUGCUGUGGUUAGCUCUGGUUGGUUGGGACUGUUGCCUCCAAACCAGCCCUCCAUCCUCACUGGACAGCUGUCUGUACCAUGCUGGUAAUGGUGACUGAGCACUUCAGAGCCUUCUAGAGCGACCAUCUAGCCUGUGGUUGCUGGACCAGAAAGACAGGCCACCCACUUAGUUUGGGUUCCUGGAUCCUUUCACAGCAUUAUAAGGUUGUGUUGCGACAUGGACUUAACAAUGACCCAAGUCCAGCUCAUUUAAACCCUACCAUUGUGUUACUGAGUUGUCAUUAUGCUUCAGCAAAUGAAUAUUAUCCCAGGGGCGAUGGAAGACACAAUGUAAAUAACAUAAUGUAUGUCCCUCUUACUGCCCUGAAUGCCUCUGCUGAUCCUGCAGCUAUUGAAUGCAGUAAUCAUAUGCCUAUGAAACAGAUACUGUUAGCACUGAAGUGGUGUGCCCUAGUAGGAAGUCCACUGUGUGCAGCUCACCCUGCACGAAUAAAGAUAACCAGAGUAUGUCUACCUUUGCUAAGCUUCCCAGUAAAGCAAUAAAAAUAAUCAAGCAUCCCAGAAAAGUGUUAAAAAAUAGCCCAGGUUAACAUAUGUAGCUUAAGAAAAAAUAGUUCAUGAAAUCAAUAAUUUGCUUGUAACAGAUGACAUUCAUAUUCUGACCAUCUCUGAAACUCACUUAGAUAAUGCCUUUGAUGAUACAGUGGUAGCAAUACAUUUACGGAAAGACAGAAAU
ensembl:lncRNA